rnacentral:rRNA from 1 species
GAUGAACGCUAGCUACAGGCUUAACACAUGCAAGUCGAGGGGUAGCAGGGUAGCAAUACCGCUGACGACCGGCGCACGGGUGAGUAACACGUAUCCAGCCUUCCCAUAACUCGGGGAUAGCCUUUCGAAAGAAAGAUUAAUACCCGAUAGUACUUAUAUAGGGCAUCCUACAUAAGUUAAAGAUUUAUUGGUUAUGGAUGGGGAUGCGUUCCAUUAGAUAGUUGGUGAGGUAACGGCUCACCAAGUCUUCGAUGGAUAGGGGUUCUGAGAGGAAGGUCCCCCACAUUGGUACUGAGACACGGACCAAACUCCUACGGGAGGCAGCAGUGAGGAAUAUUGGUCAAUGGGCGAGAGCCUGAACCAGCCAAGUAGCGUGAAGGAUGAAGGUCCUAUGGAUUGUAAACUUCUUUUAUAGUAGAAUAAAGUGACCUACGUGUAGGUUUUUGUAUGUAUACUAUGAAUAAGGAUCGGCUAACUCCGUGCCAGCCGCCGCUGUAAUAC